CCCGCUAGUCACUUAUAACGGAGGAGGCAAAUGGCAGCCCGCAGCAGCAGCGGGCGCAUGGGGGAAGAUGGCCGCACGCCAGCACGGCCGCGUCCUGCCGCCCUUCCACAGGGACACGGGGGUGGGCUCGGGGCCGGGCCGGGGACUGCAGCGGGCAUCACCGGGAGGUUUGUUUGUGUUGUGUAACCAGGGCUCGGCACGCGCGUUGGGUAACGCCGCCGACAUUUCACCUACUUUCAAGCCACUGCUGCGACGAAUCCGUUUGGCCCCAAGUUGUUUUCGCCUCCAAGGAAAGUACGUUUGCACGGCGGAGCCUCCCCACCCUCUCGCCGUAAUUCCCCGGGGCGGACGAGGAGGGAGACGGGGAUUAAAGAGUCGCAGGGACCAAGGAGCCUCUGAAGAUAUAAUCUCAUUAUCUGGAAGCACUUGCAUGAGGAACGGUUAGUUUUAUGGAAGGAGAGCUGCUGCAAAAGAGAGAGAGACCUGACUUGGGUACUGAUUUGUGCCUUCCUGGUGCAGAUUUGUCAGCACAGAGCGUUCCCACAGGGCCAGCAGGCCAGGCCAAAGGGGGUGGAAAGGAGAGAAUCAAUACAGCUGCCAUCCCUUAUUGGGAGGAAUCUACAGAUCUCACCUUGAUUUACUGGGGAGAUCGAUAUCUCAACCUUCAUUAAAGUGGGUGCUAUGUUGGACUGGAUAAGGCUCACCUGCUGCGAGAGCAAAUUGUGUGCGGAUGCCUGUCCGCAUAUGUGGAGAUCAUUCAGCGUGGUCUUCGUGUACUCAAGGCUGGAUGCUGUACAGUUCGCCAGCUACCGCAGGGCUGCAUGCAGUUAGCUCAGCACCAGGCCUGGAAAGACAGGGGCUGUGCUCCAAAAGCCACCUUCUUUACCGACUUCUGGAAUGGGAGCGCUCCUGCUGGACCCAUCAGCUUAGUCCAAUUAUUCUGUUGCCUUGUUUCUGAAACUGGCUCCAAUGGAUGCUUAUGGGGAAGAGGAACAUGCUGCUGAAAGCAGAUGGGUUGAGACCUGCUCAGAACAAUGAGAAGCAGUAUUUCUGGACACCUCUCACUCAGGUGGAAUUGGCUCUGCCAGCUAGAUCCAAACCGUAAUGCUGAGAAAAGUGCUGUGAGUCCUGGAUUUACUUCCUGUGGGGUGACGAAAGGCACAGAUCAAAGUUUUGAAGCUUGGACACAGCAGCAACGGCAGACAUAGCCCAGUGGUAUCCGCCACCACCAUACCAGAGGAGACAGAAGGAAGUCCCCGGUCCCAUUCCUCAACAGGAGCACACAAGCUCUUUAGCAGCCAUGUUCAUGACUGGCCCACGUGCAGGCCUUGAGCAGAACCCACACUGAUACAAACACCAUCCAGACCCUCCAACUGAGGAAGAACUGAAGCAUGGAGGAAGAGAAACCCAGAUUCAAAAGCUAUUUAGACACCUAAUGAUGCAGUGAGAUACCAGCUGGCAUUUCCAGAAAGCACUGUUUAGGCAGCUAGGAGACCAGCACAAGUCCGCUCCACAUCUGCCUACAGCCAAGCAGCAACCAGCAGGGUGGAAGCAGACAGGUCACCUGGGGAGCAGCAAGGGCCCUGUGUCAGCUGCUUCAUGAGAGCACCUUGCUGCCUGCUUCUCACUGUCAGCAAACAUGAGGCACUCUGAGGCUAAUGAAGGAGGAAUGUCUGCUAACGAAGCAGGAGUGAACCAUCUCAGGUUCCGCAUGGCAUACGGGAGUGUGAAUGGUUAUGGCUCUGCUAGGCUCUGGCACAAAGACUUACUAACUGAGCAUUACAGUUCCUAGAAAGAAACCCAACAAACUGGGAAAAUAAAACAUUCUGACCUACUUUCAUCUCCAUUAACCUACUCCUUCCUUAAAAGCUUGGGCAGAGACAUUCACAUGUUGCUAGGCUCUAAGCAGCAGCUUUGCAGUCCUGGAUUCCAGUUGCAUGCAGCACAGCAGCGUGCUGUGGAUACAAAGACAGCCUCUCCCCACCCCCUCAGACAGGAGCCCCAAGAACUGGAAGGCUGCUGCUGCUGCUCUCUGCUGAACUCAGCUUCUGUGAGCACCUACAUGCAGGCUGGCAGGUCCCCCUGCACCCAGAAUGAAGCCCACCAACUCCUGCUAGGUCAGAGCUGGGCCUUCCAGAGCUGAGGCACAGCUGGGCUUUGUCUAAACCACACUGACCAGCCCAUCGGAAUGAGGAUGAUGGUGUGGCAGAGUCAGAUCUCCAGGGAAAGAUGCAGUGGAUGAAGAGAGGCUAAAAAAGCCGAUGCACUUGACCUCUC
ensembl:lncRNA